AUAUUAUUGAUAAUAAUUAUGUUUUAUACAACUUGUGAAAUAUGUGGUUUAAGAGCCGCUAGCCGGUCGUAUAGAUGGCCAAAAGAGAAUUUUCAUGGCCAAAUUUCCACUGGAUGAGGAAAGAUGUAAACAGUGGGUUAAGAUGACCGGUAAGGAGGAUCUGGUUUAUGUGCCUAUUGAAAAGCUACAUCAAUUUAAAUGAAUUUGUGGCAAUCAUUUUCUACCACAACAUUUUAAGAACACAAUUGAAAAAAAAACCAUUCCAUGUGUGGGACUUACUGCAGACACUUUAUUUUAUAAUAAAUAAAUAUAAUUAUAUUUUUCCACUUUUAUUUUAUUUCAACAUUAUAUCAUAGCACUUACGUCAACGGAAAAUCUCGAGUUUAUUUUAUGGAUUAUAUUUUUGUGUUCAAAUAGGAACAUAACAUAACGUUGAACCGAGACUUAACGUUGGUGUCAUUGUGUAACACUGAAAUCCUAUUGUGUAAAACUGAAAUUAAAGUAAUACAUACACUCGCA